GCAGAGGCCGAGGUGGCCGGGAACCUCCCUCACCUGUGCUGACUCUGGAGGGGCCUCCCCGGCCGCCUGCCCUUCCUCCCCCGGGAAGCCUGGGCAGAAACCCGAGACCUGGCUCCAGGUUCAGCUGCCAGGGGGCCCGGCCUCUCCCUCCGUCUGCCGGGCAGCCUGCCGCCAGUCUGCCCCGCCGCUGUCACAGGGACGCAGAACAGCCCGAGGCCCCAGAGGGAGGCUGAGUUCCGCCUCCAGGACCCGAGGCUUCCUGCCGGUCACACACCUCCGCCCCCGGCACGGCUGCCUGCGUACAGCUUCAGACUGCCCACCUUCCAGAAGGUUCUGCGGUUGUUCCUGAGAUGGGCUCCCCCGGCCAUCGGCCAUCGUUCUCUGGGACAGGGUCUCACUCUGUCACCCAGUCUGGAGUGCAGAAG